GUAGGCUUUAUUGCUUGCUUGCUUUACAGUGGGUUAUACAAUGAACUUAAGGAGGAUCUUUUGGUCAGCUGUCCUGCCAAAAUCAAAAUUUUAACAGUCUUGAUGAAAAUAACCCAUUAUGUGACAUUUUAUCAGGUAACAAUAAUGUAAAUGCCUGUGCCAAAGCCUGCCACCUUAUCCUCCAACGGAUACUUCAUUUUUAUAAGGGCCCAAUUGUCCUUUUAUCCGCUGUACUUUAUGCAUAAAUGUGUAUAGAAUAUAUAUUACGCCUGUACCAUGUUUGCCUAUGAUUGUUUUUAGUGUUUCAAAACUCAAUUUGAGUGGUCCACAAUGUGGUUUAAAAAAGAAAAUCUGUAUUAUAGUAUCAUAGUGGAGUGACACGUCAAUACAUUUUUCUAACUCUAGAUACAUUGAGUACACAAAACAUUAAGAACACAUGCUCUGUCCAUGACAGACUGACCAGUUCAAUGCAAUGAUCCCUCAUUGAUGUCACUUGUUAAAUCCACUUCAAUCAAUGUAUAUGAAGCGGAGGUUAAAACAUGAUUUUUAAGCUUUGAGACAUUUUAAUUUAACCCUUAUUUUACCAGGUAAGUUGACUGAGAACACAUUCUCAUUUACAGCAAUGACCUGGAGUAUAGUUACAGAGGAGAUAAAUGAGCCAAUUGGAAUGAAGGCCAGAUUGGGAAUUUAGCCAGGAUACCAGGGUUAACGCCCCUACUCUUACAAUAAAUGCCAUGGGAUCUUUAGUGACCACAGAGAGUCAGGACACCCAUUUAACGUCCCAUCUGAAAGACGACAUCCUACUCAGGACAAUGUUCCUAAUCACUGCCCUAGGGCAUUGGGAUAUUUGUUGUUUGUUUUUUUGACCAAAGGAAACAGUGCCUCCUACUGGCCCUCUAACACCACUUCCAGCAGCAUCUGGCAAGCCAGCAGUAUGCUGCAGGGUGGUGUGCUGCAGGGUGGUGUGCUGCAGGGUGGUGUGCUGCAGGGGUGGUUUGCUGUGCAUGUGUGCCAUUCAGGGGGGUGAAUGGGCAAGACAAAAGAUUUAAGUGCCUUUGAACAGGGUAUGGUAGUAGGUGCCAGGCACACCGGUUUGUGUCAAGAACUGCAACACUGCUGGGUUUUUCACGCUCAACAGUUUCCCAUGUUUAUCAAGAAUGGUCCACUACUCAAUGGACUUCAAGCCAACUUAACACAACUGUGGGAAGCAUUGGAGUCAACAUGGGCCAGCAUCCCUGUGGAAUGGUUUUGACGCCUUAUAGCGGUGCGCAACUCAAUAUUAGGAAGGUGUUCCUAAUGUUUUCUAUACUCAGUGCAUAUAACACAUUUCAUGUUAUUUUAACACACUAAUUCUCUUUUUCUAAAGUCGAUGCAUUGUUUUUUUUUUACAAGAAAAGGAACAGGACAGGAUACAUUGAAAGACAAAAAAACAACAGUUGCCUGUACAUAACUUUAUAGGAAUGAUUUGGCAUUGGUAAGUCAAGUUUAGAAUACGGUUCAGUCUGUGGGUGAGCCUGUUGUGGCUGUACCUAAUCCACAAAGUGAUCAGAAAACUGUAGACGUAACUGAAACACAGGGAAACAGCACCAUCUGGUGUACAGAGCUCACUCAGCAGACGGGGGAAAAACAACCCAAGAAGAGGUGAGUUUCAAAACACAGGUGGGCUAUAAAACAUUACUAAACAUUUCAAAUUGUACUUGUAACUCCCCUUUACUACGG
rnacentral:lncRNA from 1 species